GGAGGGUGCAAGCGUUAAUCGGAAUUACUGGGCGUAAAGCGCACGCAGGCGGUCUGUCAAGUCGGAUGUGAAAUCCCCGGGCUCAACCUGGGAACUGCAUUCGAAACUGGCAGGCUAGAGUCUUGUAGAGGGGGGUAGAAUUCCAGGUGUAGCGGUGAAAUGCGUAGAGAUCUGGAGGAAUACCGGUGGCGAAGGCGGCCCCCUGGACAAAGACUGACGCUCAGGUGCGAAAGCGUGGGGAGCAAACAGGAUUAGAUACCCUGGUAGUCCACGCCGUAAACGAUGUCGAUUUGGAGGUUGUGCCCUUGAGGCGUGGCUUCCGGAGCUAACGCGUUAAAUCGACCGGCUGGGGAGUACGGCCGCAAGGUUA
rnacentral:rRNA from 1 species